AUUGAACGCUGGCGGCAGGCCUAACACAUGCAAGUCGAGCGAGCGGCGGACGGGUGAGUAAUGUAUGGGGAACUGCCCGAUAGAGGGGGAUAACUACUGGAAACGGUGGCUAAUACCGCAUACUAUCGGAUGUGCCCAUAUGGGAUUAGCUAGUAGGUGGGGUAAAGGCUCACCUAGGAGACGAUCUCUAGCUGGUCUGAGAGGAUGAUCAGCCACACUGGAACUGAGACACGGUCCAGACUCCUACGAGAGGAGUCAUUGGGGAAUAGUGCACAAGGGGCGCAAGCCUGCUGCAGCCAUGCCGAGUGUAUGAAGAAGGCCUUAGGGUUGUAAAGUACUUUCAGCGGGGAGGCGUUACCCGCAGAAGAAGCACCGGCUAACUCCGUGCCAGCAGCCGCGGUAAUUC
rnacentral:rRNA from 1 species